ACAAGCGGUGGAUGAUGUGGUUAAUUCGAUGACAACGCGAAAACCUUACCCACCUUUGACAUGUACGGAAUCCUUAGAGAUAGAGGAGUGCUCGAAAGAGAACCGUAACACAGGUGCUGCAUGGCUGUCGUCAGCUCGUGUCGUGAGAUGUUGGGUUAAGUCCCGCAACGAGCGCAACCCUUGUCAUUAGUUGCUACAUUCAGUUGGGCACUCUAAUGAGACUGCCGGUGACAAACCGGAGGAAGGUGGGGAUGACGUCAAGUCCUCAUGGCCCUUAUAGGUGGGGCUACACACGUCAUACAAUGGAUGGUACAAAGGGUCGCCAACCCGCGAGGGGGAGCCAAUCCCAUAAAGCCAUUCGUAGUCCGGAUCGCAGUCUGCAACUCGACUGCGUGAAGUCGGAAUCGCUAGUAAUCGUGGAUCAGAAUGUCACGGUGAAUACGUUCCCGGGUCUU
rnacentral:rRNA from 1 species